GGAAUUUGUGUCCUAUUUUUGCAACUUUCCUGUAAGUUUGAAAUUAUUUUCACCCUUGUUUUUCCCUUCUCUAUUCCUUCCACCCUGGUCCAAACCAUCACCUAGGUUGUUACACAUCCCUCUUAAAUAUUGUUUGUUUGCUUUUCUGCUUUAAUUCUUACUUUUCUACCAUAUGUUCUCCACACAGAAGCCACAGCGGUCUUUGUUUCUUUGGUUUUUGUUUGUUCUUGCCUGUGUUUUUCUUAAUUUUGGUAAAACAUGCAUCAUAUAAAAGUUACCAUUUCAACUCUUUUUAAGUGUACAAUUCAUCACCACCAAGUCCAUUCACAUUGUUGUGCAAUCGUCACCACCAUCCGUCUCCAGAACUUUUUCAGCAUCUCAAACUGAACCUCUCUACCCAUUAAGCAGCGACUCCCCUUUCUCCCCUCCCUCGGCCCCUGGUAACCACCAUUCUACUUUCUGUCUCUAUGAAUUCGAGCUCUCUGGGAAGACAGGUGUCUCUCUCUAGGUGCCUCGUAUAAAUGAAAUCAUACAGUGUUGCCUUUUGUGUCUGGCUUAUUUCCCACAGCACAAUGUCUUCAAGGUUCGCUCGUGGUGUACCAUGUUAGAAGCCCCUGCCUUUUAACAUUGCAUAAUAUUUCGUUGUCUGGAUAGACCACAUUUUUAUCCAUUCAUCAGCUGAUGGACAUGGGAGUUGUUUCUACCUUGUGGCUGUUGUGAAUAAUGCUGCUAUGAAGUUCCCAUCUCAGCUCAGUGGGUUAAGAACCCAACUAGUAUCCAUAAGGAUGCGAGUUUGACCCAUGGCCUUGCACAGGGGGUUAAGGAUCUGGUGUUGCCCUGAGCUGCAGUGUAGGUUGCAAACGCAGCUCAGAUCUGGCUUUGCUGUGGCUGUGGCAUAGGCUGGCAGCUGCAGCUCCGAUUCAGCCCCUAGCCUGAGAACUUUCAUAUGCCCCAGCUAUGGCCCCAAAAAACAAAACAAAACAAAACCAAAAAAACCACCCCAAACAAACAAACAAACAAAAAAACACAAAAAUGCCUGCUAUGACCACUGGUGUACCAGUUCCUACCACACUCCGUUCCUUAAAACUCUCCAAAACUUUAUUCUAAAACUCAAACCCCUUUCUCUCGUCCACUAGUUCUACAGGUCCCUUCUCCCUUCUCUCUCCCCCUCAAGCUCACCAGGCUCUUUCCCUACCAGCCUUCUGUUGGUUUCUCAAACUCACCAAGCAUGUCCUCACGCGAGCCUUUGCACCUGCUCUCCCCUCUGUCUGGAAGGCUUUUCCCCCAGACUGGAGAGUGGCUACCUUCUUCUUUUCAUUCAGAUCUUUCCCAUGCCCCUGAGCUGCAGUAGCCUGAGCACCCAUCCAGUCACCAGGUCCUGCUCCCAGCUUGUUUGUUCCCAGACAGCUGCACCCCUGACAUCACAUAAGAAGGGUGCUGCCUUCUCCCCACUCCCUGACUGUAGUUCAGGCUGCCUCAUUCACUGCAGAAACCAAGAGCCCAGACAGGGCCUGGCACAGGUGGCAUGCCAUGUUUAUGGAAUGAAUUCAUCCAAAAGUCUGAUCUGACAGUGCUGAGUGAAAGCGGGGCAGGACAGAGGAGUCGCAGGACUCUGAAAGGAGCCGACAGAAGGGAAAUUCAGGGCACACGAUGUCGGUUCCUGUCACACUCCUGCCUCUGCUGUGAACUCUUCCUUCAGUGGCUGCUGUGGCUGUGGCUGCCUCCAAGUGGGAGCCCUGAGCAGACAUAAGGUAUGGCAGGGACACUUGGCCCAGUAAAACCUAAGGCGCAGGUCCACUCUCAGCUACAUCAGGCUAUGUGCUCCCAGAGAGCUUGUAGGUGACUGGAGAGACCUGGCAGGGCCCAGCCAGAGCAAUUCUUCAUAGACGUGUCCCUAAGUCACUGUACCACGUAAUAUACAUAAGGAGAAAACCCAUUAAUCCGUGUCUCCUCAACGUUCAAAAUGCUAAGUCAUUUUUCAGGCUUGGCUUGAUUUCUCUUUCAUCAAUAAGAGCUACAAUCCUGCCAAGCCCGGAACAGAUAGCUCUACCUGCUGCAGAGAUAGGCAGCUCCGUAAAAGGCAAAGGGGGUGCCAGCACCCUCCUAUGCUCAGGGUUCCACACGACUGCUCUCAGGAGCUUUCAGAGGCUUUUAGCCAUGGGGGGGGGCAGGGGCACAGCUGCAUGGCCUGUCCUAGUGCCACCAUAAUGCCACCUGCCACUGGAGAGGUGUCACCAAGACUUGUGAUGGAAGCCCUGCUGCAUGAUGGACACAAGCACAGGCUGGAGGCCUGGCUCCUAGCUGCACCCCUUUGCUGACUGGAUGACAUUGAGAGGUAUUUGAACUAAUCUCUUUGGGUUUCAGUUCCCUAAUGUGCCAAAGCAAAUAAUCAGGCUAGAUGGUCUACAAGGCCCCUUACAGCCUGGAAAUUCUAACCCUUGGAUGCAGCUGAGAGGAUGCAGAGAGCUGUGGGGAGGGGACAGAAACCAAAUGCUGCCUUCAUCCUCUUCACGUUCUGCUUUCACCAGUAUGUAGUCGGGUGGUAUACUUCAGGACUCCAGGGCAAGGCUAAAUUGAUCUUUGUGGAAAAGAUCAGAAGAAGAAAUUACUCCCCCUCCCCCAAAGUGAUCAAUUAAAAAUCUGCAGAAUGCCAGGUGAUGAAACAGCUUUAUCAUUAUUAGAAGGAUGCAACUAUCUGUGUGUCCAAAUCACCGUGCUGCAGACAGUUUCUCAGGAUCCCUUCAGGGAUUUCCAUGGGUCCCUUCAGAAGAGCCGCUGGCCCUGACCACUCUGUCCCAUACAGUCCACCCAGUCAAGGUCCAUGUUGCCAUGAAGGAUAGGCUUCAUUCAUUCACUCAUUCAUUCAUCAAACAAAAAUGUCUUGAGCACUUACUUUGUGCCAGGCAUUCUAGACACGGAGAUGCAAGAUACAACCCUGUCCUCCAAGAGAUUCCCCACUCAGAGCAGCAAGUAAACAAAGUCCACAGGCCAUAGCAGUCUGGUAUGGUGAGUGCUACGGAAGAGAGAAGCACAGGCCACUACAGCAUCCAGAGCAGAGACCCUAACCCAGAGUGAGGAAUACUCUGCUAUCAGGGAGGUCUCCCUGGAGGAGGUGAAACCUGAGCUUGUCUUAGAAGAGUCUAUCUAAAGAUCUCUCUUUUUGUCAUUGCUAAAAAUUAAGAUCAGUUUUUGUGCCAGUACCAUGACCCCAGCCAGACAAAAUCACAUGAUAUCACUUUUAUGUGGGACCUAAUAAAAAUGAUACAAAAGAACUUAUUUAUAAAACAGAAACAAACUCACAGACUUAACACCAAUCUUACAGUUACCAUAGGUGAAACCACUGGGGGGAGGGAGGAAUUGAGAAGGUGGGAGAAACAUAUACUCACUACAGUAUUAAAUAGAUAAUUAAUGAUAACCUAUGGUAUAGCACAGGAAAAUCUACUCAAUAGUUUGUAAUAACCUACAUGGGAAAAAAGAAUGGAUAGACUUUUAUGUAUAACUGAUCCACUCUGCUAUGUACCUGAUACUAAUACAAUAUUGUAAGCCAACUAUACACCCAAUAAAAUUUUAAAAACCAUAAAAAAUAAAGAUUAAGAUCAGUUCAUAGCUGCAAGGGAUUAUGAAGGAAUAGUGGUACCAGGAUAUGGGAAGAGGAGUUUAGGGUCUGAUGGAGGGACAGAGAAAGGAUUAUGAAGCCCCACUGGCCAUGAAUCUUUAAUGACAUCAAACAACAAGACUGGGGAAUAGGUGGUUUCCCAUUGUGCCAGGGAAGGUGGAAGGUCCCACUGAUGGAGUGUUGGGGUUAUUCCGGGAGAUGCAGUAAAUGGACAAGAGAGGGAAGGAGCUGGCCAUCCCAAGAGGGUGUGGCUUACGGGACAGGUCAGGGGUCUAAGCUAGAUGUGGGGGAGGAAGGGACAUGGAUGAAGGGGGGCCCAGGAAAAAGUGGAGACACAUGGGACCAAUAAGAGAGGGUGAGUCAGUGUCCCACAAGCAAAGCAUGAAUAUGCAGAAGAUAGGUGGUAAGGCUGCAGAUGAAGCUGACCUGUAUCAGCAGAAAGAUAGAGACUAUCUUAGCUGCAGAGAAGGAAGCCUUGAGGAAGGCGGCUCCCAAAUCUCUACUUCAAAGCAGCAGAGUGUCCCUGGCCCCCUGACCACCAAGGCUGCUCAUCUCUCCUACAUGAGCAGGUGAGAGACAAUCCCUCCAAAAAUCUCGCCCAGUCAGUGGGGACCAGCCUCCCCUGACAUAUCAGUAGAAGCCUCAGCAUUUGCUUAUAGCUCCAUCUUUUUUGUCUCCUCUUCACCUUAAUCUUCACAAAUACCUCCUUGGGACAGAUGGCAGCCAUGAGUAUUGGAUCUGCAGGGCCAUUCAACUGUGUGUGUGCCUGUGUGUGAGGGCAGAGUAGUGGGGCUCCCCAGGGAACUGGAGGUUUCGCCAGCCAGCUCUGUGGCAGCCUGUAGAUGUCAUUCAAUUAGGCUGCCUGGGCAGCAGCAGUUGUGGCACAGAGUGUUCUCUGCAACUCCAAGAGGUCUCUACUAUUUCAGAUAAAAAAUAACCCAGGGUCUUUAUAGAACCUCUCAUGAUCUGCUGUCACUUAAAUGCGUCAGCAGGUGGCAAUACCAGCAGACUGAUCUCUGUCUGGGUCUGAUGACAGGAUCCUACAGAAAAGUAAUCCUCUUAGACUGGAACUGGCCCCAAGGACGGGCUGAAAUGUGCCUGAGCAGCCUUAACAUUUCCUGAACCACCUGCUCUGUGAGGGGUGCAGGACAGACCCAGGCCCCUCUUGGCUUGGAGGAAAGCAGGACAGUUCAGAGCUAUGGGCCCCUCCCUUCCCGGGUUCCCCUGCCUGCCUUAGGGGUAGGAACAGCUCCAGGCUCAGUCCUAGACCACAAGGUCGCUAGUGGACUUGCAGCAGCCACCAAAUGAACCUCGGGAACCUUGAACCUGGAAGCAUCUGUUUCCCACCUAGGAGGGAAUGUGAUUGGCCAGCCUCCUCAGUGGCUUCUAAUUGCCUCCUCCAAAGCAUCCUCCCAGUGCACCCAGGUCUCUCUGUAUCCCGUGACCACCCGCCUUGGCUGAUCAGAAAUGGACAAAGUAGCACAGUGGGCCACUGACACCGAAAUAGGAAGCCAGCAAGACUCCCUGGUGCUCCUGAGAGCAGGAUGUGGGAGAUAAAGGCAGCUAUGGUGCCCAUCUGGGGCAGGGAAGCCAGGUAUGGUUCACUGGAGCUCCACUGUGGCUCCAAACCACUCCCGUUCACACCUGGGGAAGGCGAAUCCAGGCAUCUGUUGUCUUUUCCCAGUGGAAAAUAAUGAGCAGCAGGAUAGUAACAGUAAUAAUAACAAUGGGUAGAAUUUAUUGAGCCCUCACUAUGCCUUACUACUGACAGUGUGCUGAAGGUUCUCAUGGAUUAGCUCAUUAAAUCCUCAUAACAACCUUAAAAGAGAGGUAUAUAAUUGGACCCAAAUUAUAUGUGUUGAGAUAAAAUUUGGUGAUGUUAACUGAGAAAUUUUCCCUUGUCCACUGCCCCAGGCCGCCCUCCCCACAUGAAGCCAAAGCCUUCAUUGCCUCAGAAGCUACACUUUGCCUGCAAGUGGUGGUGAGGAUAUACAAUCAAGUACAAAAAAUCCACCACCACCACCACC
ensembl:lncRNA